rnacentral:rRNA from 1 species
UCCCGUUGAUCCUGCGGGAGGCCACCGCUUAUCCCCUGUCCGACUAACCCAUGGUAGGCAGGGUGGGUUCUCCCGCCCGCCGAACAGCUGAGUAACACGUCGGCAACCUACCCUCGGGUGGGGGAUAACCCCGGGAAACUGGGGAUAAUCCCCCAUAGGGAAUGGGUGGUGGAACUCCCCCAUUUCCGAAAGGCUUUGCCGCCCGAGGAUGGGCCGGCGGCCUAUCAGGUAGUUGGCGGGGUAACGGCCCGCCAAGCCGAAGACGGGUAGGGGCCGUGAGAGCGGGAGCCCCCAAAUGGGCACUGAGACAAGGGCCCAGGCCCUACGGGGAGCACCAGGGGCGAAACCUCCGCAAUGCGGGUAACCGUGAACGGGGGGACGGGGAGUGCCCUGGGCUCUGCCCAGGGCUUUUGCCGAGUGUAAAAAGCUCGGCGAAUAAGCGGUGGGCAAG